GAUGAACGCUAGCGACAGGCCUAACACAUGCAAGUCGAGGGGCAGCAUGGUAUCAGCUUGCUGAUACCGAUGGCGACCGGCGCACGGGUGAGUAACGCGUAUGUAAUCUGCCUGUAACAGAGGGAUAACCCGGAGAAAUCCGGCCUAAUACCUCAUAGCACAUAUUAUUCGCAUGAGUUUUAUGUUAAAGAGACUCGGUUACAGAUGAACAUGCGUUCCAUUAGCUGGUUGGCGGGUAACGGCCCACCAAGGCAACGAUGGAUAGGGGUUCUGAGAGGAAGGUCCCCCACACUGGUACUGAGACACGGACCAGACUCCUACGGGAGGCAGCAGUGAGGAAUAUUGGUCAAUGGGCGAGAGCCUGAACCAGCCAAGUCGCGUGGAGGAAGACUGCCCUACGGGUUGUAAACUCCUUUAUAAGGGGAUAAGUUGGCCAUGUAUGGCCAUUUGCAGGUACCUUAUGAAUAAGCACCGGCUAACUACGUG
rnacentral:rRNA from 1 species